rnacentral:rRNA from 1 species
ACUCCUACGGGAGGCAGCAGUGGGGAAUUUUGAUGGAUGGGCGCAGCCUGAUCCAGCCAUGCCGCGUGUCUGAAGAAGGCCUUCGGGUUGUAAAGGACUUUUGUUAGGGAGCAAGUCCUGCAGGUUAAGAGCCAGUAGGGAUGAGAGUACCUAAAGAAUAAGCACCGGCUAACUACGUGCCAGCAGCCGCGGUAAU